CAGCGCAUCGCGGAGCGGCCGCGGGUGCCUGCGGGGGGGAGCGUGCGGGGCGCGGGUGCGGAUGCUCGGGAGGUUGCGGGUUUUCAGCUGUGGUCAAAGCUUUGUGACCAUCUGAGAAGACUAAAGGAUCACCUCCAUCAGCUGCUAAUGCAGUUAUCUACUCAGACUCCAGCAGCAGUGGCUUCUCCACUUCAGUUCAGCCCCAGAGGUACUUAGCUGGAUGGUCAGUCUUGCUAAGGACUUCUGCAUCUACUGACUGCCCUGAAGUUGACAGCAGCCUUAAAAGACUUGCUGUGUGUAAAAGUAUUUCAGAUUCCAUAACUAGAAGUGGUAGGACUGAAAAAUAGGUACCUUUUCCACACUCCUAGAAUACAUGCUGAAAGGUGCCAACUAAACUAAAGAUUGGAAUGUAACUGAAAAUAUACAAUGUGCUCCCAUAUACCAGAACACAGACUCACACCUACAACUUUUUCAUUAAAAUUAAGUUAAAGAUCACAAACCAUUUUAUGAUACUGGCAAGUAUGCAUGUCAUGAAAUUAAUGUUUUUGUAACUCAAAUCUUGUUAUGGUGCUGGAUUAUAUCCAAUUGUCACAGCUAAAAAAUGUGCAGUAACUAUAAAACAUCACGGCUUUUUCCUGAAAGAACAGUUUCGUAGUUUCUUGGUACAUAUGGUAAGUAGAACUUGAAACAUUUUGCGUUGGGUUUCUUUGCACUCAGCAUGGAUGGCAUUGAGUAGUGGAGGGUUUUCUCCUCCCAGCUUCUUUCUCCUCAAAUUUCUGGGGCAUACAUGACUGCCAUACCUAUGAAAUGGAUGCAAAACACCACAGUAACAUGAAUCAUCAUGUUUUAAAAUGUCACGUUAAUGCCACCUACUGCAACAGCUUUGUAGGUGGGCUACAAGGCCAUCUAUUGAAAGUGGGACCGAUAGGGAGGAGGCUAGCAGCUUUCUUAGUUGCCCCAAACUUCACCUUCUGCAGCCAUAGACAAAAAUCCUUAUAGUAACCUUAUGUCUACACAGGCCUU